rnacentral:rRNA from 1 species
AACGAACGCUGGCGGCAUGCCUAACACAUGCAAGUCGAACGACACCUCCGGGAGUGGUGGCGCUCGCGUGCGUAGCGCGUGGGAACCGGCCCGUAGACUCCGGAUUACACCCUGACGGGGGUGCUAAUACCGGAUAAUGUCUGCUGAUCAAAGAUCUAUCGACCUAGUAUGGGCCCGCGUUGCAUGAACUAGUUGGUAGGGUAAAAGCCGACCAAGGCGUCGAUCGAUAGCUGGUUUGAGAGGAAGAUCCGCCACACUGGGGCUAGGACACGGCCCAGACUCCUGCGCAAGGCAGGAGAGCCUAAUAUAGGAAUAUGGGGGGGAGGCUGAAGCAGCAAGGCCGCGUGAGCGAUGUAGGCGUGAGAGAAAUAAAGCUCUUUUACCCGGGAUGAUAAUGACAGUACCGAAAGAAUAAGCACCGGCUAACUUCGUG